AGAGUUUGAUUCUGGCUCAGAACGAACGCUGGCAGCGUGGAUUAGGCAUGCAAGUCGAACGGGAAGCCUCGCAUUCAAUCUUCGGAGAGAACGUGAGGUGGAGAGUGGCGGAAGGGUGAGUAACGCGUGAGCAAUCUGCCUCUAAGCUCGGGACAACCAGCCGAAAGGCUGGCUAAUACCGGAUGUGGUACUUUGUCGCAUGACGAACUACUAAAGGUGGGGAUCCUUCGGGACCUGCCGCUUGGAGAGGAGCUCGCGUCCCAUCAGCUUGUUGGUAGGGUAAUGGCCUACCAAGGCUUACGGGUAGCCGGCCUGAGAGGGUGAUCGGCCACACUGGGACUGAGACACUGCCCAGACUCCUACGGGAGGCUGCAGUCGAGGAUCAUUGUCAAUGCGCGAAAGCGUGAACAUGCGACGCUGCGUGGAGGAUGACGGCCCUAGGGUUGUGAACUCCUGUCAUGAGGGACAAGCCGGCGGGCCGUUAAUAACGGUCCGCCCCGAUGGUACCUCAAGAGGAAGCCACGGCUAACUCUGUGCCAGCAGCCGCGGUAAUACAGAGGUGGCGAGCGUUGUUCGGAUUUACUGGGCGUAAAGGGUGCGUAGGUGGUUUCGUGUGUCGGAUGUGAAAUCCCGGGGCCUAACCCCGGAACUGCAUUCGAAACUGCGGGACUAGAGUCUAGGAGGGGAGAGCGGAAUUCUUGGUGUAGCGGUGAAAUGCGUUGAUAUCAAGAAGAACACCGGUGGCGAAGGCGGCUCUCUGGAAUAGUACUGACACUGAUGCACGAAAGCUGGGGGAGCAAACAGGAUUAGAUACCCUGGUAGUCCCAGCCGUAAACGGUGUGCACUUGGUGUUGGCGGAUUUGACCCCGCCAGUGCCGGAGCUAACGCAUUAAGUGCACCGCCUGGGGAGUACGGCCGCAAGGUUAAAACUCAAAGAAAUUGACGGGGGCCCGCACAAGCGGAGGAGCAUGUGGCUUAAUUCGAUGCAACGCGAAGAACCUUACCUGGGUUUGACAUCCGAGGGGCUUGCCCCUAAUACGUGAAAGCGUACUAACGAGACAGGUGCUGCAUGGCUGUCGUCAGUUCGUGCCGUGAGGUGUUGGGUUAAGUCCCGCAACGAACGCAACCCUUGUGUUUAGUUGCCACCCCCGAGCAAUCGGGGCGCACUCUAGACAGACUGCCCGUACAAGCGGGAGGAAGGUGGGGAUGACGUCAAGUCCGUAUGGCCCUUACAUCCAGGGCUGCACACGUGCUUCAAUGGUCGGUACAGAGGGCCGCAAUACCGCGAGGUGGAGCAAAUCCCUUAAAACCGGCCUCAGUUCGGAUUGGAGUCUGCAACUCGACUCCAUGAAGUCGGAUUCGCUAGUAACGGCGUAUCAGCUACGACGCCGUGAAUACGUUCCCGGGCCUUGUACACACCGCCCGUCACAUCAUGAAAGCCGUCCGCACCCGAAGUCACUGAGCCAACCUUUUACGAGGAGGCAGGUGCCGGAGGUGUGGGUGGUGAUUGGGAUGAAGUCGAAACAAGGUA
rnacentral:rRNA from 1 species